rnacentral:tRNA from 1 species
AAAGGGAGACCUAAUUCAGGUAGGAGACGAAAAAAAGUAGUCCCAACCAAGAAUCAAUCCCAAAAGGUCGGAGCGAGGUAUGAGGCUUUCAAACUAGGUUCUGGGUUCAUAAAAGACCUGAAUCAGGAACAAGGGCUAUUAGCUCAGGUGGUUAGAGCGCACCCCUGAUAAGGGUGAGGUCCCUGGUUCGAGUCCAGGAUGGCCCACCUGCACAGGUGGCAAAAACAAAGAAAAGAAGCUCCGAAUCAGCACCUUAUCUUACUUAUAUAGUAAGAGAGAAUGCUGGCUCUGAGUUCAGAGUCCAGAGGAACCUUGAAAACUGCAUAGAGCUAGGUGAAAAAGCCAAAAAAGAAGACCGCAAG